CGGUAGCAGGAAGUGCUUGCACUUCGCUGACGAGUGGCGGACGGGUGAGUAAUACUUAGGAACAUGCCUUUGUGUGGGGGAUAACCAUUGGAAACGAUGGCUAAUACCGCAUAAUGUCUUUGGACCAAAGAGGGCUUUCGGGCUCUCGCGCAAAGAGUGGCCUAAGUGAGAUUAGCUUGUUGGUGAGGUAAAGGCUCACCAAGGCGACGAUCUCUAGCUGUUCUGAGAGGAAGAUCAGCCACACUGGGACUGAGACACGGCCCAGACUCCUACGGGAGGCAGCAGUGGGGAAUAUUGCACAAUGGGGGCAACCCUGAUGCAGCCAUGCCGCGUGUGUGAAGAAGGCCUUCGGGUUGUAAAGCACUUUCAGUUGUGAGGAAAGUUUGAUGGUUAAUACCCAUUAGAUGUGACGUUAACAACAGAAGAAGGACCGGCUAACUCCGUGCCAGCAGCCGCGGUAAUACGGAGGGUCCGAGCGUUAAUCGGAAUUACUGGGCGUAAAGCGCACGCAGGCGGUUUGUUAAGCUAGAUGUGAAAGCCCCGGGCUCAACCUGGGAAUAGCAUUUAGAACUGGCAGGCUAGAGUCUUGGAGAGGGGAGUGGAAUUUCUGGUG
rnacentral:rRNA from 1 species